rnacentral:lncRNA from 1 species
ACAAGUAGAAUAUUAUGAUGGCUACCUGGGACGACUGUGAGUCUUCAUAAGGUGAUUCUAAAGUAUAGAACUUGAAAAAGAGAUUCUUUCUUAAGCUUAUUUGGACUCUGAGUUUGUCAUUAAGAAAUAUGACAAAUAUUUUAAUAAAAAUCUUGCACGAAUCUUCUAUGAUCUAGGGAGUAAGCAUAAAUGGAAAAAGAGGUCUUAGUUAUAUGCCACCUAAAAAUUAUAGGGUCAAACCU